rnacentral:rRNA from 1 species
GACGAACGCUGGCGGCGUGCCUAAUACAUGCAAGUCGAGCGGACCGAACAGGAGCUUGCUCUUGUUCGGUUAGCGGCGGACGGGUGAGUAACACGUGGGUAACCUGCCCGUAAGACCGGGAUAACUCCGGGAAACCGGAGCUAAUACCGGAUAACACCGAAGACCGCAUGGUCUUUGGGUGAAAGGCGGCUUCGGCUGCCACUUACGGAUGGGCCCGCGGCGCAUUAGCUAGUUGGUGAGGUAACGGCUCACCAAGGCGCCGAUGCGUAGCCGGCCUGAGAGGGUGACCGGCCACACUGGGACUGGGACACGGCCCAGACCUCUACGGGAGGCAGCAGUAGGGAAUCGUCCGCAAAGGACGAAAGGCUGAAGGGGCGACGCCGCGUGAGCGAAGAAGGGCGUCGGAUCGGAAAGCUCUGUUGUUAGGGAAGAAGAAGCGUCGUUCGAACAGGGCGGCGCGGUGACGGUACCUAACGAGAAAGCCCCGGCUAACUACGUG